UACGUAGGGUGCAAGCGUUGUUCGGAAUUACUGGGCGUAAAGCGCACGUAGGCGGAUCGAUCAGUCAGGGGUGAAAUCCCAGGGCUCAACCCUGGAACUGCCUUUGAUACUGUCGAUCUGGAGUAUGGAAGAGGUGAGUGGAAUUCCGAGUGUAGAGGUGAAAUUCGUAGAUAUUCGGAGGAACACCAGUGGCGAAGGCGGCUCACUGGUCCAUUACUGACGCUGAGGUGCGAAAGCGUGGGGAGCAAACAGG
rnacentral:rRNA from 1 species